GACGAACGCUGGCGGCGUGCCUAAUACAUGCAAGUAGAACGCAGUUGCGAACGGGUGAGUAACGCGUAGGUAACUGUCUCAUAGCGGGGGGUGACUAUUGGAAACGAUAGCUAAUAACGCAUCCUGUGAGGUGGACCUGCGUUGUAUUAGCUAGUUGGUGAGGUAAAGGCGCACAAAGGCGACGCUACAUAGCCGACCUGAGAGGGUGAGCGGGAGAACUGGGAAUGGGGAACGGGCCAGAACCCUACGGGGAGCAGCAGUAGGGGAUCUUUGGAAAUGGGGGGAAGUCUGACCGAGCAACGCCGCGGGAGGGAAGGAGGUUUUUGGGGUGGAAAGCCCUGUUGUUAGAGAAGCGGUAACUAAAGAGAAAGGGACGGCUAACUACGUGCCAGCAGCCGCGGUAAUUC
rnacentral:rRNA from 1 species